rnacentral:rRNA from 1 species
UACGGCUCAGUAACACGUGGAUAACCUGCCCUAAGGAAGGGGAUACCCUCGGGAAACUGAGGAUAAUACCCUAUAGGUUACCGAUGCUGGAAUGCUCGGUAACUCAAAGUUCCGGCGCCUUAGGAUGGAUCUGCGGCCGAUUAGGUAGUUGUUGGGGUAACGGCCCAACAAGCCCGUAAUCGGUACGGGUUGUGGGAGCAAGAGCCCGGAGUUGGAUUCUGAGACACGAAUCCAGGCCCUACGGGGCGCAGCAGGCGCGAAAACUUUACAAUGCGGGCAACCGUGAUAAGGGAACCUCGAGUGCCUGUACAUGCAGGCUGUCUGGGUGUCUAAAACACACCCAAAGAAAGGGCCGGGCAAGACCGGUGCCAGCCGCCGCAGUAAUACCGGCGGCUCGAGUGGUGGCCACUUUUAUUGGGCUUAAAGCGUUCGUAGCUGGGUUGUUAAGUCUCUUGGGAAAUCCGGCGGCUUAACCGUCGGGCGUCUAAGAGAUACUGGCAAUCUUGGAACCGGGAGAGGUGAGGGGUACUUCGGGGGUAGGAGUGAAAUCCUGUAAUCCUCGAGGGACCACCUGUGGCGAAGGCGCCUCACCAGAACGGCUUCGACAGUGAGGGACGAAAGCUGKGGGAGCWACCCGGUUUAGAUACCCGGGUAGUCCCAGCCGUAAACGAUG